UCCACCUUACGGCGGCGGUCUCCCCAGAGUGCCCAGCAUUACCUGAUGGCAACUAAGGACAAGGGUUGCGCUCGUUGCGGGACUUAACCCAACACCUCACGGCACGAGCUGACGACAGCCAUGCAGCACCUGUCCAGCAGUCCCUUGCGGGACGACGACAUUUCUGCCGCCUUCCGCUGGAUUUCAAACCUGGGUAAGGUUCUUCGCGUAGCGUCGAAUUAAACCACAUGCUCCACCACUUGUGCGGGCCCC
rnacentral:misc_RNA from 1 species